rnacentral:tRNA from 1 species
GGUCUCGUAGCUCAGCGGGAGAGCGUCCGCCUCACACGCGGAAGGUCGCUGGUUCGAACCCAGCCGGGACCACCC